rnacentral:lncRNA from 1 species
UUUUGUGAUGGAGAAGCCCCACACACCAGGAAACUUGAUGAAGUCUAUUGCUAAUUCAUAGUUGGCAAUUCGUAUCAGCUUAUACCGGGCGAUCAUUAAGCUAAUGUAAAUGAUCUGGAACUCACUCCCUCUGGUCAGCCAACAUAGGUAAGGGUAGAAAGGAAGGAUCCUUCUCUUGAGGGCCGUAGCAGAGAGCAGAAUCACUAGGCAGAUGAGGAUGGUGAGCCACAUGUAGUGAUCCGCAAUCAGCACACACACACCACUGACGAAUGCUGCCUUGAACCCUAUGAACGCGACCUGCACUAGUAUUUCGGAUAGAGUAAGACUGUAGACCUGGGUAACAGGAGUUCCUACCCGCACAUAGAUGACGAGGAAGGGAACACAAAUGGAGGAUAUCAUGGCCAGGGCAUCAGAUAUCAGAAACACCACAAAGGCAAUCCCCCUUAUACACCUGUAGAUGCUCUCAUCAUCGCUGCGAUCCCUCUCAAAACUCCCUGAUAAGGUGAAUGCUGCAGUGAAGGUGACGGUGGUAAUAAGCGCUGCCACGACGGGUAGACUAUCGGCGAUCUCUUUAUAGUUCUUCUCUUCGACUUUGCUCUUUUGGUCUACGGUAUGCUUACUGUCGGCUAUUUCUUUUUGAUUCUUCUCUUCAACCGUGCCCUUUUGGUCUACCGGAUGUACCAUAUCCUCAAGGAGCUGCGGGUCACUGAAUUGCGCACCCUUAUUCGUCAAAUCAAUCACUACCUUGAACUGCAAAAACAAGUAGAACCUGUUGGAUCAUUUAGACGGACACCAAGAACAGGGGUGAAGGGUUGAAAGUACGUACCAUUUUGAUUUCCAGGCGGUUCCUUGUGUUGGAUAGAGCGACAUCAAGAGCGGUUUGGCCGCGGUUGUUGGUUGCACUAAGCUUGACGCUUGGACUGGACGACAACAUUUGUAUGAUGGGCAUGUCUCGAGAUAUUAUAGCUCGAUGCAGGGGAGUGUUCCCAUCCGAAUCCGGCUCGUUCAAGAGAUCAGUGAGACUAGGUGAUGUUGCCACAAAUCGGACCACUUGUUCUCUUCGUUUGCUGAUGGCUACGUGGAAGAAGUUGCCGCCCUCCCCGUCCCUCACCUCCGUACAACCGUGGCAUGUUUCGAUGAGAUGUUUGAUCACGUUCACAUGCCCGAAGCUUGCAGCGACAUGGAUUGCAGAGGCGCCACCAUUGUCUCGCAAAUACGCAGUAGAUUCAUCAUUUUGUAGCAGAAGUCUCACCAUUUCGAGGUCUCCGCGGGCGGCUGCAAAGUGGAGAGGUACGAGUCCGGCGGCAUCGGCCUUUCGGGUUAAACUGGCCCUCUGCUGCAGCAACAUCCUUGUGAUUUCCACAGCUGAUAAAUCGGAAGACGUUGGAAAAGGUUGUGGGAUCCACCAAUAAACUAAAAGCUUAUAUUAAACAUGACUAUUUAUAAUCUUUUAGAAGAUUCCAUCUUAUUUCUUUUCUGAGUUCCGUGUAUAUAAAUAAAGCAUGCGCCGUAAACUCAGGAUCUUGACUCCAAUUAUGAAAUGAAGUGUGACUAAGACUCCUAAAUCAAAAUCCUAUAUAUUUAAUAUUUCAAGAAACCCAAUAUAAAAAAUAUAUUGUCAAACCUUUCUUUUGAAAUAAACGUAAUUAAUUAUACACUAAGGAAACUACUAUUGGAACAAUCUACUGUUCUAAGUCAUAAAAAGUUGAUCCAGCAUGCAAAACACAGGCACUAUGAGAGAGAGUCUUAAUUGAAACAGAUGGAUAGUUCUAUGUCUAUAAGAUUUAACAGUACAAUUUGACACAGAGGGUUCGUGUGAUCGAUCACUUACGGGAGCUCCUGAGCACGGCUGAGUGCAAAGCUGUCCGCCCAUUAGGUCCGUCGCAUGACGCCUCCGUCGCCGCCAGCAAACGCCGCACGAUCGACGCUGACCCGCUUUCCACCGCCAUAUAGAGGGGCGACACGCCGUUGACGUUGUUGGUCGCCGCCGAUUCGCCCGGAGCCCUCGCCAUCAGUUGCUCGACGAAGGAAUCGUGGCCGUUCCGUGCCGCCUCGUGCAAGGCUGUGUUACCAACGUUGUUUACCAUGUAGGGCAGCCGACGUUCAGGAUCGCCCCGACCGGGAGGGUGAGGGAUGAAGACAUCCACCAUGGUCGUGUGGCCGGCUCUGGCAGCGCAGUGCAACGGAGUGUCUCCUUGUCGGUUUUGGAUCGUGAGGAGGAAGGGCUGCCGGCUGAGGGCUCUGGUGGCGAAGUCAGUGUGUCCUAGCUUGGCUGCAAUGUGAAGCACGGUGUUCCUUUCGGCCGUGACUUGAAGGAGGGAGUCGUUCCCUCCGAGUACGCUCAUGUCGCCCGUCCUCGCUGCCACCAACAAUUCAUGGCUCAUCGGAGUAGCGAAUAAGCCAGGGAGUGGUUCCAUGGCCUCCUCCUCUCCUUGUCGAGAUACUCUUUAACUAUUAUAAAGUAACCCAAGACGAUAUGCCGUCGAUAAGAAUGCGUUUGUGUGAUAUGGUUCUAACUCAUUCGAUGUUGAUGUCAGUGUGUCUCUAAACAGUGCGAUAAUGAAUUAAACUGAAACUUGGUAGUUGGUAAUCUUUGACCCAUUCUCCAAAACAUGUCUGAACAGAGUCAAUGUAAAACCAGCCGACUCCCAAGUCUUUCUUAUUGUGGAUGACAGUAGCUAACACAUGAUCAAGCCAUGAGAUGGUUUGGAUGGGAAGUCCCCAUCGAUCGUCCAUCAUCUGCAUAGAAUAGAAUAGAACAGCAGCACAUACAUCCCGUUCCAGUGGGAGUUUCUGAUUUCUGAUAUCUUAUGACAGUAAUUAACGCAUGAUCAAUGCAUCUCUCUCAUCCAGCGAAAGUCUUUCUGAUUUCUGUGAUGCUUGCAUAUUUAGUCACAUUGAUUUCAGUAGUGCCACAAUAAUACCUGCCUUCUCCUCUCACACAAACCACACUACUGUUUUAUGAAAAAUGAUACUUAUAACCAUGCUUUUCUAUAUACCAACAUGCAAAUGUAGUCUCUUGAUGUUAAGUUAGCACACAUUGCUAAAAUCAAAGUACAUCUUGAUUGUCACAUCAGUUCCUCCCUCUACUCUUCUAAUCUGUGAUGCGACCAUAUUAACUACCCUCUUUAGUUAUUCUUCGUUUUUGAGUUCAAUUAAUUCUUCUCCUUCUACUCCUUUGAAAUAGACCCUAUGGCCGGUGGCCUACUAGAUCUCGCUCGAGCCCCAAUUUCAUCUUUAUUCGCUUUCUUUUCGGCAUUGGUAGAUGAAACCAACAUAUUAGAUGAGAAGAAAAGAAAAAAGACUUGCAUGAUAAAAGAAGUCACGUCAAUAUAAAUGAAUGCAUUUGACCAAAUUUCAAAGUAAACCACAUAAGUUAGCCACAGAUAGUAGCUAGCUAGGGGCCUCGCAAUCAAGUUGACCAACUCAACUAUCGUGAAUCGGAACAUCUAACUCGGAUAACCAACUCAAAUCCUAUCUCAUUCUAAUCUAAUCAUAGUAUAAAUUACUCAGUGGUAGAAGAACGAUACUGUGCUGGUUGAAGUUGCAGCCAUAUAUAAAUAAAGAACCCACUGGCCGUCUUUGAGCUGUUCAUCGAAAGGUUUUAUGUUGUUAGAAUGACAGGACAUACUCGACACAUCAAAUACAAUUUGAUGCGUCAACUGCUGCCGUAAUCAGAUGGUUCUUUCUGAAUAGUUAAAUGAAAUAUUAAUAAUUCUGUCUCUAUCUGCUCUAAUCGUAGUAUAAAAUAUUCCAAGGUAAGAGAACGUAUGGAUGACAGAGCACUGCAGUCAUAUAAACAUAAAGAUUUCAGAUGUUUGAAUCCUUGUAGCCACUCCGGCAAACAGUCCAAAUUGUCGCAUCCGUUGAUCGUCAAGCUUCUGAGUUUAACACAUCGUUCCAUGUCCUGUGGCAAACACCUCAUCUCCUGGCAUCCAACUAUCGCCAAGUUCUUUAUUGGGAGGUUUUGCCAACCCUCGAAUUCAGAUGUCUGCAGCAUUUUAUUGUUCAACCAAAUACUCAACGUUGAGACCUCAAGAUCCACCUCUAAAGCUUUGAAUUUUGGACAUUGGAUCAGUGUCAAUCGACGGAGUUUCGGGAACAAAAAUUCUUUUUUUCUCUCCACCUUUAGCCAUUUUUCUAGUGCAAGCAUAUGAGACAAUGUGAAUCUUUUCAACUCCGGUAAUAUCCCAUUAUUACCAUAAAAUGCUUCAUCCACAACAUCGAUUAAAUCCAUACCACUUAUCUCAACAAUCUUAAGAUCGAGUAGUCCUCCGAGUGAUGGUAGCUUUUUACAUCUCUUAAGAUUGAUUAGUUUGAUCUCUUUCAACUUAUGGAGAUAGUUAAACUCCUCUUUUAUCCAUACAGAAAAUUCUUCACCAACAUAUAAAAUAAUUUCUAAUUUUUUCAAGUUUGGAUUGGGUUGGAGACCUUCAACUAAUUACAGCGAAACCAAUUAUGAAGUUAUCAUAUUUUUCCUAUUUAUCCAUUUCCAAUGUAACUUCAAAUACAUGAGCUACGGAAGUAUAUCAUGCAAGCUUAAAGGAGUCAAAGCAUCUUCACACUUGUUCGAGGUUUUGUAGUAUAAUUCUUUUAGAUUCGUUAACUAUUUCAAUUUUGAGAAGGCAUUUCCAAGAUCACCAAUUAUAAUAUGUCCAGACAACUUGGAGAAGACAUUUCCAAGGUUACUCGUCUAACUUAUUCCAUGUGGUAUUUGAUUCAAUGAACAUUUAUAUACAUUAAGAUUUGUCAGUUUAUUUUAUGUUAUAAGAGAAUCAACCAGCGGUACAAUAAUAAUUGUGUCAUCGUAGGUGGCAUGUGAUGAAGAAAAAUUAAAGCUGUGUCCUGGUUGUGCAUCAUUUCCUCCCACCGACGCAUAAUUAGAGCAUAAAUUUAUUGCUGCCAUCGAUUCAUUUCAGUGUAUUUGAAUAUGGAGCCAAAAUCCUUCACCUUCGUGGGAGACCAAUCAUAUAAAUAAUAGUUUCUCUUAUAGGAUAGAAUUAUCUCGUUUGCUUGCUCGUGUUGAUCAGGCCGGAUGAGUGCUUGUCUCAUGCACAAUUUUACCCACUCAUCCUCCGAUAGGCUGCUGAAUUGCCUCAUUCGGACGGAGGACCCCAAUAUAUCCAGAAUAAAAAACAAGUCAGGAAUGACCACCACGGUACCCCCGGUGCGCCGACGAGCAAUAGAAAGUUCUCCAAUUGGAGCCACUUAUCCUUGUCCUCCUCCCCUAUGUUGAGAUCAUCCAGAACGAGGAAGUGUUUGCUUCCAUGGAUUCCAGAAUAGCCAGAUGUCAUCGCUUGGCUCCCCGGUCAUUGAACUCGUGAAUUCUCUCAGAGAUUCAAUGUUUGGGACAUCCACCCGGAUAAGAUAUAUAUAAUAUAAUUAAUUAAAUUCUAAUAAAAUAUUUUGGUUAAUAGAAAAAAAAAUCUACUUAAAGUAGGAUUUCUUAGAAGAUAAUCUUGAUAGGAGGAAAUCUCAUAAUUAUUUAUCCUAGAUCCUCUACUCUCGCCUAUAAAUAUAUUAGAUCUCUAGGGACUAAAGAGAGAACAUCUCACAGAUGUUAUAGUUGAGGGAUUACAAGUCUUUCCCCAACUCUUCUUCUAAACCAUCAAUCUAUAUGAUCUUGUGAAAGGAUAAGAAAAGAUGAGAAGGAUCUAGUUCUUCUUGCAGAUUGACAGCGAUAUUAGAUUAAAGACGGUACCUUGCAGAUCAAACAGAGAUAUCUUUUCAGAUGAUAUUAAAAGGUAUGCAUCGUUAAGCUAGAUCUACAUAAAAGAUUAUUUUUGCAUCUAAUUUAACAUGUUAUAGUUUUUUAUGCUUACAUCCACUUGAGUGGCUUCGUUAGUUUCCAUGUGAGUGCCUAUUCAUUUCUUCAAAACGGUCACAUAUUAUUGUUGCCCAUUAUAUAGUGUUGGUUUUGUCAUACUAUCUUACUAUAGCAAUUCAAUAUUUGCUUUAUCCACUCUGUUAUGUUCUUAGCUAGAAUUGCUUAAAGCGAAAAAAAAAUGUUAAAAAGGUGAAUAUAGGGGUAAUUUACCAUUGUUACCUACAAAAAAAGGCAUGAUACUCGACAUUCAAAGUAACACAAAACAAUUGACCUUUAUUAGACUUGAAAGGGUAUCAAAAAUAGGCUGAGAAUGCACACAAAGGAGGUUCCGAAGAUAGAUGUAGGCCUAAUAUUUACCUAGUAUUUUUGUCGAACAGAAAGCGGAUAUACUAAAGAUGUUGCAUCACCCCAUAGACACCUACUCAAAGCCCCAUCCUCCCCAAUACAACCUGUUUUUGCCGAACAUUUCAUAUCACUAGGCCAUCAACCAAAAAUCAACUCCUAGCACGUGAGAACAGUAUAGUUUUAGGUCAUUUUCCCCUUUGGUGCCGCACAACCAAAAAUAUUUUUAAGUUUUACCUGAUAAAAACAUAAAAUAAAAACACUGAUAAUAAACAAAAAUGGGGUUAACUAUAGUGUUUUCUGCCUUGUACAAGCUGCCCUAAAGAAAACAUCAAAAAUAUGAAGAAAACAACAUAAAACAAGAAUUGAAAAUCAUCAUGGACAAGUGAUGAAUACCUUGUUUGCAUCAUUCCAUGACACUGACCGGUUGACACAUGAUUAUAAUGGUCUAAAAACUCAGGAGUUUCCCAAGUAUGUUCCAUGAAACUUUUUCUAAUAUUAUUUAAGUUAUUGGUUGAAUCCUUCUAGCCCAAAAUAGACUUAAGCAUCAAAAGAGUAUUUAUUGAGAAUGCCCCUAAUAUAGUUUUAUAAAGUUUGUCCCAACAGAGUCAGUAGGGUUCAUCAGCAUCUUCGAAAUUGAUAGGAUUCGACCUCAUCAGGAUCGAAUGGGUUUGGCACAUUCAAGGUUGAACGAGUGUGGUGUCGAUCGAGAUAAAUUAUGAUAAAUGUAAAAUGAACCUCGGAUAGCUUUGAAUAUAUAGCCAACAAAUUAUGACAAAUGUACAACCGAGUUCUAUGCUAAUAACAUAUAAGUGAUGAAAUAAAUUAGAUGCUUGAUCCAAAUUUUAGCUAUAUACCCUCAAUCUUUGUUUUGUAUAGACUAUCAGAAAUUUAGGGUUUUGUAUAGACUAUCAGAAAUUUUAGCUAUAUACCCUCAUCAAAGAUCAACAUGGUUUUGUAUAGACUAUCAGAAAUUUUAGUUCGGUUCUAGAAUUUGAAAUCAAUCAAUUAAUUUCGUUAACGAAUCUCAAACCUGUCUAUUUUUUUUAAGAUAUUUGAUGAGAAGAUAUUGUUAAGAAGAGAUUUGUAGUUAAAGACCUUAUGUGUUUCUUGUUGAUAGAACGGGACUUGUAAUGAAAAGAAAAGAUUUAAAUUUGACUAACAUUUUGAGAAAGAGAUUAUGAUGCAAGAAUGAAGAAAAAAAAAGUUGAAAAUAGAACAUUUUAUUUCCUUUACAUUUUUUUUACGUAUAUUAAAUUAGUAUGAGAAAUUUAGGGUGCACCCUUUGAGAAAUAUGAAAAAGGGCGCAUCUCCCAAGAAAAGUCUAGAAAUUCACCCAAAUUUAUUCUCAGCAAGUGUUCCGAAGGAGAAAAAAAAAUAUAAUAUACUCAAAUUCUUGAGUUUUGAACUGUUCUUAUUUGAAUAGUCACAAUCAUAUUCAUGAAAAUAUAAAAGAUCAAAAAGGAGUGGUAAAAAAAUAAAAAAAUCUUAUAAAUUAUAUUAAAAAUGCAUUUAUCAUAAUUUUAUUAUAUUAUUAAAAAGUACAUUAUAUAUUAUUACACAGAUUAGAUAAGAAAUAUUGUAUAUUAUAUAAGAUUUGGUUUAACAUAAUGUAUUGAGUGAGAAUAUUUUCAAGAAAUGAUGCCAAUGUUAAUAUUUUCUUAAAUCGGAUUUGGAAGGGAUAGUUAGUUCACAUUGCAAUUAAUUUAGUGAUCAGCAAGGGAAGAGUGGCAUUCCUUAUCAGGAUCUCUUAUCCACGUUUAGAGUUGGAAAUAACAAUACCAAGCAAGAGCCGUAAGCUCUUGAAACAAGCCCAUGUCUCGAGAUGUGUUAUUUUCAGGCCAAAGUUCUUCAAUAACAUUAACAACCUGUUUUUUGUUUUUUUAUUUCUAAAGCAAAACAUGUAUAAUUAAUAUUAAAAACAUAUAUAAUUUCCAAAUCAAAACAUGAAGCUCCGAAGAAAACCCCUCGACCCAAAAAUUUCCAUAGCCACUAACUUUAGCGUCAUUCGCUAGUCAAUUAGUUGUUCGAUUUUGCUCCAUAGACGAACGAGAGAUACUUUAGCUUCCUUAAACGAUAGCAUAUAUACAUCGAUAUCGUGCACCUCAUUAUGAAUAAAGGGUUAAGUUUGUGCAUCAAAAUUCGGACCCCACUUGAAUAUGGAGCUUCUUGAUCCGUAAACCAGAAAAUUAUUUGAAGGGGCAGGCACUUGUAUUCUAUGAUGACAAUAGAUGGAGUCCGACAAACAAGAAAAUUUUGAAUAGAGCAUUUUUUUCUGGAGCCACCGUUCCAUCACUAUCACAAAUAUGAAGUCUUACAUGAUGAAGUCGUGUGAAUUUAUAAGAGUUAGAUCUUAUGAAUUUAUAAGAGCACUUUAUUCUUUAGAUGCUCUCCUAUCGAUCGUAAAGUCUUAUGAAUUUAUAAGAGUUAGAUCUUGAAGGAUGUCAAUGAUUCGUCAAGUCUAUAGAUGUCCAUUGGCUUAAAUGUUACAGGGAAUACGAGCAUAUGCUCCCCUAUCGAUUGCAAAGUCUUGUGAAUUUAUAAGAGUUAGAUCUUGAAGGAUGUCAAUGAUUCGUUAAGUCUAUAUAUAUCCGUUGACUUAAAUGUCGCAGGGAAUAGAGAAGAUGAGUAACCUCCUAACAUUGUCUUAGUUGACAGUCGAAACACAGAGUUAUAGUCAUUAAGAGAUUGUCUUAGUUGACAGUCGAAACACAGAGUUAUAGUCAUUAAGAGAUUAAAAAGAAUGACAUCUACAAAACCUCCCUACUCCUUUAAAGUUGCACAACUUACUUAUUUAUUGCAUUCGAAAUGGUUAAAUAUGACAUUUGAAUUAUAAAUAUUUGAAGGUCUCCAACCCAACACAAAAUUAAAAAAAAUUAGAAAUCAUUUCAUAUGCUGACAAGAGAUUCCCAAUAUGAAUAAAAGCGGUUUUUUGAUGUCUCUAUAAUCUGAAAGUGAUCAAACUCAACAGAAACUAAUUGGUCUCGAUAUUAUUGAGAUAAGUGUUGGCAUAAUCAUGCGACAAGUUGCUACUUAUUGAUGAGGUGCAUCUGUCAUACAUAUAAGCACAUUGCGGAUAAUGGUCAAAUUAACAUUGUCACUUGUUGACGAGGUCAAAUUUGGAUCGUCCAUCUGUGGAAGAAGACCAUUCGAGCCUAUCUAUCACCACAGCAACAUAUUCUUCAAGUUUGCGGCGAGGCAGUGGGAUACAGGUAAUGACCACCAAUCAUCCCUCCCUCGGGUACUGCUCAGAAUUUUGUGAUGGAGAAGCCCCACACACCAGGAAACUUGAUGAAGUCUAUUGCUAAUUCAUAGUUGGCAAUUCGUAUCAUCUUAUGCCGGGCGAUCAUUAAGCUAAUGUAAAUGAUCUGGAACUCACUCCCUCUGGUCAGCCAACAUAGGUAAGGGUAGAAAGGAAGGAUCUUUCUCUUGAGGGCCAUAGCAGAGAGCAGAAUCACGAGGCAGAUGAGGAUGGUGAGCCACAUGUAGUGAUCCGCAAUCAGCACACACACACCACUGGCGAAUGCUGCCUUGAACCCUAUGAACGCGACCUGC